rnacentral:miRNA from 1 species
CUUCCAGUCGACGAGGUACAAGUACCUCGCCGGCUGGAAGGACACCCUUCCAGUCGACGAGGUACAAGUACCUCGCCGGCUGGAAG